GGACGCUAUGGGGCAGGACGCUAUGGGGCAGGAUUCUAUGGGGCAGGCCGCUAUGGGGCGGGCCGCUAUGGGGCGGGCCGCUAUGGGGCAGGCCGCCGUGGGUCGCUCAGUGCUCGUAGCCGUGGGGCAGGGGGUUGGUGUGGGGGUUGUGGAACAGCGUGUGCUGCCCGUCGCCCCACGGGAACGGCUGCGGGGACGGGGACGGGGUCAGUGGGGCGGACCCAGAGGGGCCCCAUAGGACCCAUAGGGCCCUAUAGGAUCCAUAGGGACCCAUGGGACCCCAUAGGGACCCUAUAGGACCCCAUAAGACCCCAUGGGACCCUAUAGGACCCAUAGGACCCCGUAAGACCCAUAGGACCCUAUAGGACCCAUAAGGGCCCAUAGGACCCUAUAGGACCCUAUAGGAACCAUAGGACCCAAUAGGACCCCAUAAGACCCCAUAGGACCCUAUAGGACCCAUAAGAACCCAUAGAACCCCAUAGGACCCUAUAGGAUCCCAUAGGGCCCUAUAGGACCCUAUAAGACCCAUAGAGCCCUAUAGGGCCCCAUAGGACCCAUAGGGACCUAUAGAGCCCUAUAGGAUCCAUAGGGACCCAUGGGACCCCAUAGGGACCCAUAGGACCCUAUAAGACCCCAUAAGAACCCAUAGAACCCCAUAGGACCCCAUAGGACCCAUAGGACCCUAUAAGACCCAUAGGGCCCCAUAGGGAGCCAUAGGGCCUUAUAGGGCCCUACAGGACCUAUAGGGACCCAUAGAGCCCCAUGGGACCCCAUAGGACCCUAUAGAGUCCCAUAGGACCCCAUAGCCCCCAUAGCCCCCCCAUAUCCCCCCCAUAGCCCCCCAUAGACCCCCAUAGCACCCCCUUAUGACCCCAAAUCCCCCCAUAGCCCCCCAUAGAGCCCCAUACAAACACAAUAGGACCCCAUAAGACCCCAUAAGACCCCAUAGCCCCCCACAGCCCCCCCAUACAACCCCAUAAGACCCCAUAGGGACCCCAUAUGACCCCAUAGCCCCCCAUAACCCCCCAUAUCCCCCCCACAGCCCCCCAUAGAGACCCCAUACCCCCCCAUAGCCCCCUAUAGUCCCCCCAUAGGACCCCAUAGCCCCCCAUAGAGACCCCAUAGCCCCCCAUAUACCCCCAUAGCCCCCCAUAGGGACCCCAUACAACCCCAUAGUCCUCCCAUACAACCCCAUAUGACCCCNNNNNNNNNNNNNNNNNNNNNNNNNNNNNNNNNNN
rnacentral:lncRNA from 1 species